ACUGGCGUUAUGGGGAAGCGAAA
rnacentral:snRNA from 1 species